rnacentral:tRNA from 1 species
ACGAGGCAGCUCAGUUGGUUAGAGCAACAGACUCAUAAUCUGGAGGUCCCUGGUUCAAGCCCGGUAUUUGUG